AUUGAACGCUGGCGACAUGCCUUACACAUGCAAGUCGAACGGUAACGGGCCUUCGGGUGCCGACGAGUGGCGAACGGGUGAGUAAUGUAUCGGAACGUACCUUUCAGUGGGGGAUAACGUAGCGAAAGUUACGCUAAUACCGCAUAUUCUGUGAGCAGGAAAGCAGGGGAUCGCAAGACCUUGCGCUGAUUGAGCGGCCGAUAUCAGAUUAGCUAGUUGGUGAGGUAAAGGCUCACCAAGGCGACGAUCUGUAGCGGGUCUGAGAGGAUGAUCCGCCACACUGGAACUGAGACACGGUCCAGACUCCUACGGGAGGCAGCAGUGGGGAAUUUUGGACAAUGGGGGCAACCCUGAUCCAGCCAUGCCGCGUGAGUGAAGAAGGCCU
rnacentral:rRNA from 1 species